UACAGGGGGUGCUAGCGUUGUUCGGAAUUACUGGGCGUAAAGGGCGCGUAGGCGGCUUCGUAAGUCAGAUGUGAAAUCCCCGGGCUUAACUCGGGGCGUGCAUUUGAAACUGCGAGGCUAGAGUGCAGUAGAGGAUGGUAGAAUUCCCAGUGUAGAGGUGAAAUUCGUAGAUAUUGGGAGGAAUACCGGUGGCGAAGGCGGCCAUCUGGGCUGCAACUGACGCUGAGGCGCAAAAGCGUGGGGAUCAAACAGG
rnacentral:rRNA from 1 species